AUGCAAGUCGAGCGAACCGACGGGAGCUUGCUCCCUUAGGUUAGCGGCGGACGGGUGAGUAACACGUGGGUAACCUGCCUGUAAGACUGGGAUAACUCCGGGAAACCGGGGCUAAUACCGGAUGCUUGAUUGAACCGCAUGGUUCAAUUAUAAAAGGUGGCUUCGGCUACCACUUACAGAUGGACCCGCGGCGCAUUAGCUAGUUGGUGAGGUAACGGCUCACCAAGGCAACGAUGCGUAGCCGACCUGAGAGGGUGAUCGGCCACACUGGGACUGAGACACGGCCCAGACUCCUACGGGAGGCAGCAGUAGGGAAUCUUCCGCAAUGGACGAAAGUCUGACGGAGCAACGCCGCGUGAGUGAUGAAGGUUUUCGGAUCGUAAAACUCUGUUGUUAGGGAAGAACAAGUACCGUUCGAAUAGGGCGGUACCUUGACGGUACCUAACCAGAAAGCCACGGCUAACUACGUGCCAGCAGCCGCGGUAAUACGUAGGUGGCAAGCGUUGUCCGGAAUUAUUGGGCGUAAAGCGCGCGCAGGCGGUUUCUUAAGUCUGAUGUGAAAGCCCCCGGCUCAACCGGGGAGGGUCAUUGGAAACUGGGGAACUUGAGUGCAGAAGAGGAGAGUGGAAUUCCACGUGUAGCGGUGAAAUGCGUAGAGAUGUGGAGGAACACC
rnacentral:rRNA from 1 species